UACGGGGGGUGCAAGCGUUGCUCGGAAUCACUGGGCGUAAAGCGUCCGCAGGCGGGACGGUCAGUCGAAUGUGAAAGCCCGGGGCUCAACCCCGGAACUGCGUUCGAUACUGCCGUCCUCGAGUUCGGGAGAGGGGAGCGGAAUUCCUGGUGUAGAGGUGAAAUUCGUAGAUAUCAGGAGGAACACCAGUGGCGAAAGCGGCUCCCUGGCCCGAUACUGACGCUCAUGGACGAAAGCGUGGGGAGCAAACAGG
rnacentral:rRNA from 1 species